GGGGAGCACCCUAGGUCAGUGGCAAAGCAUUUGCCUUGAGUGCAGAAGGUGACAAGUUCAAUCCCUGUAGUCUCCA